rnacentral:rRNA from 1 species
CCUACGGGAGGCAGCAGUGAGGAAUAUUGGUCAAUGGGCGCGAGCCUGAACCAGCCAAGUAGCGUGAAGGAUGACUGCCCUACGGGUUGUAACCUUCUUUUAUAAAGGAAUAAAGUGAGGCACGUGUGCCUUUUUGUAUGUACUUUAUGAAUAAGGAUCGGCUAACUCCGUGCCAGCAGCCGCGGUAAUACGGAGGAUCCGAGCGUGAUCCGGAUUGAUUGGGUUUAAAGGGAGGGUAGUGGGGUUGUUAAGUCAGUUGUGAAAGUUUGCGGCUAAACCGUAAAAUUGCAAUUGAUACUGGCAGCCUUGAGUACAGUUGGGGUAGGCGGAAUUCGUGGUGUAGCGGUGAAAUGCGUAGAUAUCACGAAGUACACCGAUUGCGAAGGCAGCCUACUAAACUGCCACUGACAUUGAUGCUCGAAAGUGUGGGUAUCAAACAGGAUUAGAUACCCCAGUAGUC